AGAGAGAGAGAGAGCGGCUUACCUAGUUAGAGAAAAGGAAACCAUAUUUCCUUUUCCUUGUAUUUAUAUACUUUCCAUAUUUAUGUCUUUCCUUUUAUCUCUUUGUAACUCCCAUAUAUAAGGACACCUUAUGAUUGAGUAAUAAUAAUAAGAACUUACAGAUUCUAAAUCCUUAAGUUUACAACAAAAUCUAUAUUAUUUAGAUAAUAGGAAUCUUUACGUGUAUACAUCCAACUUUGUAGCUCGUAGAUAUUGCCACUGUAUUCCAUUUUUCUCUUUGCAAGCGUUUUUUAUUUUUCUUUUUCGCCUGUGUGUCUUUAGGAAGAGAGACAUAGCAUAAUUAUAGGAAAAUUUAGAUUUUGGUAGGUAGGAUAUUAACAAGGAAUUUACCAUGAAAUAGUUUUUACAAGGACAAAACAACUAAUUUAUGAUUAUACUAGUGGUGUGUCUGCGUUUCGCGCAGAUAGCUUGAUAUUUUUGUUAUUUUAUGUUGUUAAUUUUGUGGGUUUAUUUAGUGGUUAAACAUAAAUGUAGCUUAUGGUCUUGUAUAUGGAGUUGUUCUAGGCAAAUUCUAAUUGUGAAUAACAUGUAAACAAUGAAGAUUUUAACAUUUAACAAUGAAUAACUCCUAGGACUGCUCAGAACAACAGAGCUGCAGGCGCAAAAUAUGCCAAGCAAGACCUGAAUAAAAUUAAUGCUGGUAUUGACAACUAAACAUCUGACCUUAACAUAAACUGGAUUUCAAGGUUAUCAAGUGUGAAGAAUUUUAAUGGGAAGGUUAUCCAGGUUGCAUGUUGACAGAAUUUACAAAAGAAAAAGGUGUAUGAUGAUUGGUUUUUAAAAAGGCUUGCAUUAAUAUUUCAAACAUCCACCACAACAUCGUGUGUAAAAAACAAUAGGAUAAAGGAAAAAACGAAGUUGCAUAGUAGUUUAAACAUCCACCACUACAUCGAGUUCCUAAACAAAAGGGAUAAAGGGAAAUAUGAAAUUGAAAAGAGGGUAAAGCAAAAUUUCGAAAGUCUGGUGGUUGUUGAAGCUAUACAAAGGAACUUAUGCCAAACAGUUGGCACCGUCACAGCAUCGGAAUCCUUACCAUCAGCAGAUUGAUGGCUCUUCACUCCAGGCAGCUCAGCUACAGGGACAUCUGCACCGCCCUGUUUAUAACGCAAUAAAUAGAGCGAUUACGUUUUUUUUGUUAGGAGUAGGUACUAACAUCUAUAACAAAGGUUGGCAGAGGUGGGGGUUCUUGCUCAGUAAAGAUACAUGAAAUGGUGAAGGUUUGGUGUUUUGAACUGAAAUUGAAGUCUGUUAGCUUGAGCUGGAAAUAUCAAUACAAUACUAAAAGUUGAAUAAGAGCUCCUCUCACAGUGUUCACGUGCUCACCGAAAAUCGACCAAUAGGGGAUCAGAUGUUCGCCACGUCAGACGCUCUGCGCGUGUCAUUUGGGCCUCGCAUCCUACUGGCCCGAUAAUGUUCGGAAUCUAAAAGCCCGGGAAGCCCAUGUAUCGCUGAAGUCCCCUUUCCCCUUUCCGCGAAGAACCAACCCUAAUUUAUCAAAAUCGAUCUUCGAUCCCCUUUCUCUUCCUCUUCUUCGUUCCGUCGAUCCCCUUUCUCUUCCUCUUCUCCGUUUACUACGUUUCACGAAUCUUUAUCGCGAACAAUCAAUUCUCUCCCCACUUCUCUAAACUUUUAAUCUCAUUAAUGGAUCUUUAUCGCUUUCUCCGUCUGAGAUUCUAUAUAGAUCUCUUAAUCGAUGUGUUUUUUGCAUAAAAAAAUGUUUUAUCCUUUCAACUGCUCCUUGCGUCGAAGUUAUCCGGUGUUUCCGACUCAAUGAAAACGAACGGAGAAGCGGCGAUCCCCUCCAAUUCGGUCAAACCCGUCGGUCAAACCGGUAUCUCUUCCGGCGAUGACAAUCCGAUGAAAUCCAAAGGUGCAACGGCUAUACCGAAGAGUCCGAUCAAACCCGUCACUCAAACCGAUAUCUCUUCCGGCGUUGACAAUCCGAUGAAAUCCAAAGGUGCAACGGCUGUACCGAAGAGUCCGAUUAAACCAAACGGCAAAACCGGUGCCUCUUCCGGUCCCAACCUCGGCGUUAGGGGCAGAGCUUCUGUCUCACCCGUCAACAAAGGCAAAUCUAUCGUCUCCGACGAUGUAGGGAAGGUUAUUACCUUCAAAGACGUGACAUUCGGGCCCCAUCAAGACGAGGUGCGGUUUCGAUUGAUCCAUUUUUGGGAGGCUUGGAACGUUCAUACGAAGGUUCUUAUCAGCAUCGAAAUGCUUCUCAUCGAUGAAGAGGUAUAAACCAUAAUUUGUUUAUCGAAUAUAAUUUAUUUGAUACCAUAACGUCUGAUUGAUGGUUAUCGCUUUGUUUGAUCAGAUGAUUGAUAUUAAGAUUGCUUAGCAACGAAAUAGAUUGAUUAGAUUAUAUAUAAUUAUUUGUUGUUACUACCAUCAUGAGAAUAUAUUUGUUGUUCGUUGCGGGUUAAAUAUUUUAAAUAAUUUUGGUUUUCACUAAACAUAUGUUGACUAACUUCUCUGAAUGAUUCUCUUUUGACAACAUGAGAGUGUAAUCUAGGGCUUCAUCCCCUAUGGAAGGAUUGAGACCUAUUUGCCUCACAUGAAAGCUGGUUGUAUUUACCGACUCAACAAGUUUUUCGGAUCAAAGAGCAAGACUAUUUACCGAGUAGCUGAUCCAUAUGUCACUAUUAGCUUCUCAUGGAACUCUGCCCUCUCUGCUCUCGAGGACAGUUCAAUCAUGUUGUGCACGGGUCUGGAUGGUAUUAUAUAGGCUGCGGUGUGUGCCAUACUAAAGCAACCAAAGGGCCCACAACGCUUAUGUGUAAGAAAUGUGGGAAGAGUGAGAUUGUUGGUGUGGCGCAGUACCUGACGAAGCUCUCUGUGUAUGACCAUAAUGAUCAAGCCGUAUUUGUUGUCCUUGGUGAUGCCGGUGAGGAGUUGACUGGAAAGAAAGCUAACAAGUUGGUUGAGAGAUACUAUCAGGCCAAUGAUAGUGUUGGAGGGGAUCACAUGGUUCCAGUUCCUCGGCUAUGGUUGAUACCAUUGGACAGACGCGGAAGUUUAUUGUGAAGGUAUCAAAUCACAAUCUGACUGCCAAGACCCAGACUCUGACUAUGACAAAGGUGGUCCCACCUGAUGCCCCAGAACCUGAAGGAAGUUUAGGAGAGAACGUUGGUGAAAAAGGUGAUACUGAGGAAGAGGAUAAUGCAGAUGGGUUGGUGAAAAGGGGUGCUGAUGUGAUGGAGUCUGAGGGUGUGAAGCGUGCCAAAUGUGGCUAAUGAAAUUGCCUUGACUGGUUUUGUGUUUUUUUUUUGUUUAAGACUAAGUUUUUUCAUUAUCUUCGAUUUUCCUUUGCAUCAUUAUAACAACCUUGGUUAUAAUUUUUUUUUAAAUAAUAUCUACUAUUAAUCUUUUCCAUGUUAUAUAGUUUGAUCAAAAUAUAAUAAUGGCUAACUAUAUACUGUGAUCUUUAUAAUCUAUAUAGAAACCAAUAAAAUGGUAAUAUCUAUAUAUAUUUACCACAUCACUUGGUUGAUAACAAACCAAUUCAGAAAUAUUUCAAAUUCCGAUUUCAAUUCACAACUACUAUUCCAGAUUGAGCAACUGGUUUUAAUUUAAUUAUAGUAGAAAUAGUUUGGACAGCGUUGAAAGUAUGAUAUUAGAUGAUUACUUAGUAUUGUUUAGAAUUAAGUUCUUUAACUCAUUCGAUCAAAAACAUAAUAAUUAUAAAAUAUAAGUGGACAACCAUGAAUGAUUAAAUACAUUAACUCUUUAUAUAAGCCAAAAAUGGAAAUUUUUACGAAAAUAAAACAAAAUGUUGGGAUGAGGGUUCGAACCCUAGACAAGAACAAAUACGAAUGCUACUUUACCACUAGACUAAAGACACUCAUUGCAAAUAUAUGCCCAACACUAUUUAAUUAUAGUAGAAAUAGUUUGGAAUUUUUUAAGUUUGCCGUGUAAUUUGAAAGUAUGAUAUUAGAUAAUUACUUAGCAUUGUUUAGAACUAAGUUCUUUAGCUCAUUCGAUCAAAAACAUAAUAAUUAUAAAAUAUAUGUGGGCAACCAUGUAUGAUUAAAUACAUUAACUCUUUAUAUAAGCCAAAAAAUGGAAAUUUUGAAGAAAAUUAAAAAAUGACGAGAUGAGGGUUCGAACCCUAGACAAGAGCAAAUGCGAAGGCUACUCUACCACUAGACUAAAGACACUCACUGCAAAUAUAUGCCCAACACUAAACAUAUCUAUGAACCGUUCGGGAUGAAUUAAUUGCUUCUUCUUCCUUUUUAACGAGGGAAACUCGACCCUUCCUCUUCUAUUUCCAACCGCUUUCCAAUCCAAACUCCUCGCCAUGUCUGAUCAAAAUCCUUCUUCUUCUGUUCGAACUAGGAUUCGGAGGUUUAUCGAGAUUGAUAACGCAUAUGGAGAACACUACCAAUUCCGAUCGCGAGUCCCGUUCAAGUCGUUUG